ACUUUAAUGAUGAUGGUUAAUGAUGGUGACCUUAAUUAUGUAUUCUAGUAUUUCCUCUCUAAGGAGGUACUUUUUGGGAUUAUAACUUGGGUUUUAUGAUAAAAUCUGGCUUCUAUUAACAAUAAAUACCUGACCAACUAAAAGCAACUGCUUGAGCCUAACCCCACAUAAAAGCUAGUCCACUUCAGCCAAACGGGGCAUUUGCUGAGUACGUUGAUGUGUACUCAUCCUUGCUUUACCACAAAACACCAGGUUGUCCACAUUGCAACCACUGCUCAGGAGAAGACGAAGCCGUGGAAGGAGACUUCCAGGAGUUCCAAGACAUCGACGAGUUCGAGGAUUAGGCUAGCGACCUCCCCUAGUCAGCUGCCUGUGGUGGGUUGUUUACGUUGGCUACGUUUCGAUUCUGUGUACUUUGAUUUAUAUUAUGUAAAUGACUCUAGUCUGUAAUACCAUUACUUACUCUUUAUUGUAAUUCGAAGCAUUGUGCUAUGAUGAGUCAUUUAUGUAAUCGAUGUGUACGUGAAUUUCUGAUCCUGGCACGUACAUGGUUCACAUUCGGUUUACCUUCUAAAACCGGGUGUGACAUAAGUGGUAUCAAAGCCGUGCUGACUGUAGGACCGCUAGCCUAGAGUAGCAUUGGCCGUUUUAAGGACUUACUGAUCAUUACUUCACCCCAUCCUUGAUGUUGUUUCAAAAUAUUAGUCACCUCGACUAAUUCUAUGUUGUGCUCCUAUAUUCCCCUUGCCAAAAGUAUUUUUAUUCUAGUAUGGCCUAUACUUUUCUCAAUCUACUAGAUCUGAUCUCACUCUUGUGCUUGCGACAUCUUUGUAGAUGCCCCCUGACCAUAACCCUAUUGUCUUUUGGGGUUCUUUCCUCUUUCGUCAUUGAAUUGCUACCAUCUGGCAAACUCUUGUCCUCUGUAUUGACAUACUUGUAUCCCUGAAUUCUUCAAUACCCUUGUUUCAAAUACUUGCCUCUAAAUUUCUACUGCCUACUUAUACAUUUUAGUUUAUAUGUCCAUGACCUUUCUUUUGAGACCCUUUCCUCUUCCGUUGUUAAGUCGCUAUCUUUCGGCAAUUUCUUGUCUCUUGGUAUUGGCAUGCUCGUACCCCUAGAUUCUUCAAUACUCUUGUUUUAAAUACACACAUAUGAAUUUCUCGUGCCUACUUAAGACUCCAGUUUAUAUGUCCAUGAACUUCUUGUCUUCUGAGACCCCUUCCUAUACCGUCGUUAAGUCGUUAUCCUUUGGCCUUUUCAAUUCCCUUGUCUUGGCAUGCCUGUAUCCUUGGAAUCUUGCAUACUCUUAUAUCUUUAUGUAUGCUUAUCUUCGUACCCCCAAUAUUUGUUUAAGACAUUUCAACUUACAUGUUCUUGACCAGCCUUGUUUAUUAAUGGUCCAAGAGUGAUCAUUUCAUUUUGCACACCUGUGGUAAUCUCAUUGUUUCCUUGUAACUUCCUUCCGUAAUGAAUUUUUUUACUUCAACUCUUCUGUCGGAACCUCACUUAUCCUAUCCUUGAUUGUUUUCUCCACCUUGCCAUUUGGUGAGUCUUGCCUUGACUCUGUCCAUGGAUUAUGCUUUUCAUCAUUAUCACAUUUACCCUUAUCACCUCUAUAUCUUACCUUGAUGUUUAUCUUAUACUGGCCCUUUAAAAUCUCCUCUUUUCCAUCUCAAUCUGAGUGUUGUACUUUACCUAUUGUUCCCUUGGACGUAUCCUCUUCUUUUCCACUUGCAGGUCAUGUCUUAACUCCAUCCUUUGUGGUACUCAUAUCCUUUGUUUCUAUGCCCUUUUACCUCCUCUCCUACAUCCUUGUCCGUUAUCACCUUUAAACCCUCGUGAUAUCUAUGCCCAUGCCCUCAUGCUUACUUUGAACCUACCCUUUAAAGCCUCCUCUUUUCCAUCCCUGCUCGGGAUAAUGCCUCACCCACUUCACCAUUGGUUGCUUCCUCUUCUUUGAUGCCUUGCAAGUUUUGUCUAAAAUACAUCCUUUGUUGUGUGUUUGCCCGUUAUCACCUUAACCCUUGUCAUCCCUCGAUCUUUACCAUGAUGCUUAUCUUAUGCCUACCUUUUGAAAUAUCAUCUUUCCCAUCUCGAUUUGAGAAUGGUGUUUUACCUAUCCUGACCUUGGUUGCAUUCUCUCCCUGUCAGUUCCAACCCUUGCUUUAGCUCCAUCCUUUAUUAUGCUCAUGCCCCUAUCCUGCAUGUCCUAUCAUUCCCCUUGCCUUUCGAUGGCCUUAGAGUAGUUUCCCCUUUGUAAGGAAAGAUAACCAUCUAGUUAACAUUAGCGUAUAGCAACGAGAUGUUGGUUGUUGUAUGCUUGCGUUGUUUGUCCUUGUGUUAUGACCGAGUUGCUUCUUUGUGAUGAGUGUUGAUGUGUUGCGGCCCUUGGCUCGUAAUGACAUCAAUUUACUAGGUAAGUGCCAUAUAGUUAAGUAGUUGGGUUCACCCCCUGCUCUCUCUAAUUCGUCUAUACUUAUCUUGUCUCGCUAUUCUUUCCUCUUGCACCUGUCUAGUUGGCAACCUCCAACUCGUCCAAAUAAGUCAAUGUCAGGAUCGGUAGCAUCUUCACCAAGUGUGUAUCAAUGCUCCUGUUAAGGGGGUUAGCCGCUAACCCCAAUGAAGACAAUGCGAUCAACAACAACCAACAAGAUCAAAGUGACGCAGCGGAACCGUGGUGGGUCCUAACCCACAGGUCCAAGAGAUCCUCAAGAAUUGCAUCGAUUGGUCUCGAGCUUCUGAAGGUCAAAGCAUCCACAAGUAAGUUGCGAGAGUCAAAACUGAGUUAAAAGAAGCUACGAAAAACCAAUGAACCAAUCUCAUUUUCUUGCUAGCCUCUCCUUGAAUCUCGAGGGUGAGAUUUGGUUAAGGGGGUUAGAUUUGUAACACCCUGAAUUUGGGGGUAUAAAAUUUCUUUUCUAAAAUCCACUAAAUUCGGGUGUUACCCUCUCUUUUCCUUGCUUUUCUUUUCUUUUUUCUAAAUAAUGGAGAGUUAUUUUAUUAUAUAUAAGUUUUUAGCGUAGUAAAAUAAAAUCCUAGAGAAGCUUUUGUUGUUGCAUUCAUGUCAUUGCAUAGUGUUUAUGAGUGCAGGGGUUUUCAAACUAUAUCGAAUUAUCUUUUGCAUGUUUCCAGAAAUUUUCGGGAACCUUCGGAAUGUUUUUUUAUAUUAACUAUGAAUUUAAGAUUUUUCUGAUAUUAUUUUUAAUCUCAAAAUUUAGCAUUUGCAAAAGCUAUAAAAUUCUGGAAACUCGAUAAUAUAUGUAUAUAUAUUUUCCUCUCGUCGAGCCUGUUCCGGAUCUCGUGUUCUUUUUCGCGAGAUCACCGAACCGCUUCUCCUCGCGAACAGCAAGUCGCUUGCAUCUGCCAUCCCUAACUACCUCAUCGACCCUUCGUCUAUUCUCCCUGUCUACCCUCCGUCAAAGUCUAUUCCUUCCAUCAAUCUCACCCCCGCUUCAUCUCAUCAGGCAACACUCGUGCGUGCAACCUCCUCCCCACCUCGCCACACCCCACCUCUAUUUAUAUAGGGCUUCUUCCCUCUACACAGAUACGAACUUCUCCCCUGGAUCCAGAUCUCGUGAGCAGCAGGUACCAAGUACGCAACUCUCUCAUCUUCUCUUCGUCCGUUAUACCGACGCCCAGAUUUAUAAGAGCCGCCAAUGUUAUCGUCGUCCCCGAAGCCGCCCGUCCCCUGCGCUCCUCCCUACGGCGCAGCCAGGCCCUUGCGCAGGGCGAGGCACGGCAGCCGGCCAGUGCGACGGACAACUAGCGCGACGGCUCGCCCGCGUGCCCAGGCGUCUGGCACCCUGCUCCCUCGCGUGGCGAGCCCGCGGCCGAGCUGCCCCGCGCGUGCCCUCCCACGGCUCUUACCUCGCCUGCAGCGGCAGCAAAGUUGCAGGUCACUGGCGCCGCCCGCCCCCGUCCUCACGUCACGCCGCCAGCAAGUCUCUACGUCGCGUCGUGACCGCUGCCCGGCCUGCAAGCUACGUCCGAGAUCGUUUCUUCUCGUGCUGGUGUCGUGCAGUGUAGCCUGAGGAAGAAACCGUCAUGGGGCCCACCACGUGCAUACAUCUGCAAUUUCUUGGUAGCAUGCGUAAGUCAGAGAACCAUCCUCCCUACUCACGUGGCCUUGUGGCAUUUUUUUUCCUUUUCUUUUCUUCUAUCAUUAGCUGCUAAGGAUCCUGUGCAUUUGCUUCCAUGUGGUCCUUCAUACGAUUAAAUUUCUGCCAAUAAAUUUGUGUCACGUCGCCACUAAUCCGCGAUAAACUAAUGCAACAUCUUUUAUGUUAAGCCUCUAUUUUAACCCAUUCAAAUUGUGUUAGAUUCGUAUUAACGUUGUCUACAUAUUAAAAUAUAUUUUUGUCGUAACACAUGUUUCAGUUAAUUAAUUAAUUGUUUGUUUGUUGGUUAUUAAAAUAGCUUUCUAAUUAAAACUAAUUUGUAGUUUUAGUUUGUACUUUUAUAAUAAAUGUUAGCAUGAUUAAUGUCAACUUAAAUGUUGUCGAAUUAAUACUUGUUUAGCAUAAACACGACAUCUAUUAAUAAUUUCCUGCUUGUCGCGUCGUUCGUGCAUGUCGUGUGUCGACAUUUGCACGUCGUCGUGCUGUUUGCACGCGCCGUUGUCAUGGUUUGUGUGUGGUUCGCACGUGUUGCAUUCGCCGUCAUCGUGCUGUUCGCGCGCAUAGUCGCGUUGACUCGUGUGUUUCGCGCACUGUCGUGUGCGUUGUUUUGCGUGUGUCGCACGUGCCGUUCGCACGUGUUAUCACACGUCGUGUGCGUGCGUCGUGUGUGCCAUUUGCACGUGUCGUUUGCCUCGUCGCGUGUCUGCGUGUUGUCGCAUGUCGAUCACGUGUGUCACGCGGCGUCUGCGCGUGACAAUAAAUUGUUUUCGCUUACGAACACUCACAUUAAUAACGUUAAUCUGUUAGGUCUCAUAUUUUAAUUAAUUUAUUUAAUGUUUGCUCGACUAAUGUUGAUUAGUUAAUAUUCCGAUUAGAUUAUGAAUAGUUUCCAACUUGCGCUGUGAUAAUAAACACUAACAUGGUUGAUGUUAACUUAAAUUAUUUUUAUUUAUUUAAUAUUUGCUUAGUAUAAACCUGCCACCUAUUUAGUUUUCCCUGUCUGUUGUGUGAGUUGUUCCGCGCGUGGUGUCGUGUUGAUUCGCGCGUCGUUCGCGCUGGUCGCGCGCACUGUUUUUGUGCAUCGUAAAUUCGCCUCGCUUAGAGUAUCUCGUUUUAAUUAAAUCACUUAUUUAACUGACAUUUGUUAGUAUAGCAUAUUAAUCGAACUAAAUGAUAGAUAUUACUUAUAUUUGAUAAUGUCGAAUUAAAAGUUUUACUUAAUAUUUAUUUAGCGUAAAUGUGAUAUCUUCUAGACCGACGCUUCGAGUUCGACAUUUCUUUUUCCUCGCGUGACCGUAGUAACGCGCUCUAUUUUGUUUUGCAUGUUUUAUUAUGUUUUUAUUUGAAUGAUGUAAUGUUCUUAUGCAUAUAUAUGUUUGCUUGUUUGUGCCUAUUUGUAUUCGCUGUGCGUCGCGAAUAGAUUGCGAUCUGUUUCCAAGCUUCGAGGGAUCGAAGAUCAAGCGUUGGCGACCAAGUGAUCUAGCUCUUCGAGUUCUACAAGAUUGAAGACCCUGAGCAUCUGUUUGGUGAAGGCAAGUGUCCUCUGUCCCAUUAUGUCCUAUUCAUUUAUAACUUACUACCCCGCAUUACUUACUUGAAACCUAAGGAUUGACUAGCUUUACACUUUACUUUAUCCUUGAUGACCUUAUGGGCUGUUAUGGUUAGCACUCUGCUAUUGCCUUAACUUAAUCAAUGAAUAUGAUGUGACUAUUUAUGAUACUGUUAUCCUGAUGAUGUUGAUGAUCUUGUGAUACUCUAGGGGGCUCAGGCUGUUUCCUGAGUACCUCUCCGUAAGGACUUGUUCGUUGAGAGACCACCCGGGAUAACAGUGCAACCAUGAGGGUGAAAUGGGAUGCCCUUAGCUGAUUAAUUAGAUGAACUAGAGGUGUAGUUGCUUAGCCGUCGUGCCGUCAAUGGGGUCCAGGCACAGUGCUUGCUCUGCCGAGGCUGAGUGCCGAGGUUCUUUCGUUUUGCUCUUUGUUAGUCACUCUCCUGCGGGGAGGAGUACUGUGUUUAUCAAACUGGCGAAACCUAACGGGCAGCUAUGAUCUCUAGGGAAUCUUUGUAAAAGCUACGUAGUGAUGCCCUGCCGGACCACCUAGGUAGUGGUCAAUGGGGAUUAGCUCUCCCCGGGUAGAAAGGGAAUCAUGACUCAUGGGUAAAGUGUGCAACCUCUGCAGAGGGUAGUGAAACUGAUAUAUCAGCCGUGCUCACGGUUAUGAGCGGCCUUGGGAUCCUCUUUGAUUAGAGAUACUUCGGAUACACCUCAGAUGAUGACUUUAAUGAUGAUGGUUAAUGAUGGUGACCUUAAUUAUGUAUUCUAGUAUUUCCUCUCUGAGGAGGUACUUUUUGGGAUUAUAACUUGGGUUUUAUGAUAAAAUCUGGCUUCUACUAACAAUAAAUACCUGACCAACUAAAAGCAACUGCUUGAGCCUAACCCCACAUAAAAGCUAGUCCACUUCAGCCAAACGGGGCAUUUGCUGAGUAC
rnacentral:lncRNA from 1 species